rnacentral:tRNA from 1 species
CGAAAUAUAACGCAGUUUGGUAGCGUGCCUGCUUUGGGAGCAGGAAGUCAUGUGUUCGAUUCACAUUAUUUACGA